AACGUAGGUACCGAGCGUUAUCCGGAUUUACUGGGCGUAAAGCGCGUUCAGGCGGUUUGGCAAGUCGGGCAUGAAAUCUCUCGGCUCAACCGGGAGAGGUUGUCCGAUACUUCCAGACUUGAGGGCAGUAGAGGGUGGUGGAAUUCCGGGUGUAGUGGUGAAAUGCGUAGAUAUCAGGAGGAACACCAAUGGCGAAGGCAGCACUCUGGGACGGUACUGACGCUGAGACGCGAAAGCGUGGGGAGCAAACAGG
rnacentral:rRNA from 1 species